GAGGGUAUAGCUCAGUGGUAGAGUGCCUACUUAGCAAGCACGAAGUCCUGGGUUCAAUCCUUAGCACCUCCA
rfam:Camelus ferus unplaced genomic scaffold scaffold1405, whole genome shotgun sequence.